rnacentral:rRNA from 2 species
ACCCGUUCCCAUUCCGAACACGGAAGUUAAGCCCUCUCGCGCCGAUGGUACUGCCGCAAGGUGGGAGAGUAGGUCGUCGCCAGAC